CCUUGUGUUAGUCCAUUCUCAUGCUGCUAAUAAAAACAUACCCUAGGGUAAUGUAUAAAGGAAAGAGGUUUAAUAAACUCACAGUUCCACAUGACUUGGCGGCCUUACAAUCAUGGCGGAAGACAAAGGAAGAGCAAAGGGACGUCUUACAUGGUGGCGGAAAAAGAGAAUAACUGUGGCACAAAAAUGAGGAAGCUCAUGGUGUCGCUGGGUGGGAGAGAGGGGAGGCCAAGGUGGCGGGAGUUUCCAAAAUAUCAAAGAGGAGAGAAUUUCACAGAGAGAACUCUGGAAAUCUGGAGAGGGUCUCCCUGGAGUCUUCACCUGAGUCUUGAUUAGCACAUGUGUGUGAGGAAACUAUGCGAGGCCAGGAAAAGAACCAGCAAAAGGAAUAGAGAGAACUCACAUUGGGUCAGAAAUAGUUCCUGUUCUCAUCAAUCAGAGUAGAAAACCUCAUAAUCCACAGGGCCUAAGGCAGAGUCUGAGUAAUUUUGUCUCAGUAGUUGGGAAAAUUUAGCUCAAAACUAACUGCUUCUCUAUUCUCACCCAACAAGUCUUGAAAACAAGACUGAAAAAAAAAACAAAAACAAAAAACAAUUGAUUCGAAGGAACUUAACCAUGCCCUAGAACAAAGCUCAAAAAUAUUUAAAGUACUUGUGAAAAUACAAAAAUAUUCAGCACUCCAAAAGGUAAAAUUCCCGACAUCUGAUGUGUGAUAAAAAGUUAUCAGGCAUGCAAAGAAUUAGGGAAAGACAACCCAUAGUGAAUAUAAAAAUCGCUCAAUCAAAACUGAUUAAAAAAUGACACAGAAAAUAGAAUUAGGAAAUAGGAACAUUGAAAGUUAUAUUCAAGAAAAUAGAGGAACAAUUAAGCAUACUAAGUAGAAACAUCAAAGAUUUUUUAAACUCUUACUAAGAAUUCUAAAGAUGAAAACUAUAAUGUCUAAGAUGAAAAGUACAUUAGAUCAGAUUAACAGCAGAUUACACACUGCAGAGAAUGAUUAAUGAACUUACAAACAUAAUAGAAACUAAAACACAAAGGAAAAAAGACUUUUAAAAAAUACACACGGAAUCAUUGAGCUAUAGAAAAACUUCCAAGUAGCCCAAUAUAUGUGUAACUAGGGUAUUCAAAUGAUAAAAUAUUUGAAUAAAUAAUGGUCAAAAACUUUUCCAAUUUGAUGAAAAAUAUGAAUUCAGAGAUUCAAGAAGCAGGCCAGUAGCAGUGGCUCAUGACUCUAAUCCCAGCACUUUGGGAGGCUGAGGCAGGUGGAUCAUGAGGUCAGGAGUUCAAGACCAGCCUGGACAACAUGGCAAGACCCCAUCUCUACUAAAAAUAAAAAGUAAAAAAAAUAGCCAGGUGUAGCGGUGUGUGUUUGUGGUUCCAGCUACUUGGGAGGCUGAGGUGGGAAGAUCCCUUGAGCCUGGGGGGCGGAGGUUGCAGUGAACUGAGAUGGCGCCACUGCACUCCAGCCUGGGUGAUAGAGCGAGACCGUCUCAGAAGAAACAAACCAAAAAAAAGUCCAAGAAGCUCAAUAAAUCCCAAGCACACACACACAAAAUAAACAAAAUUACAGUAAAGCAUAGCAUCAUAGAAUUGCUUAAAACCAGUAAUAAAGAGAAAAUUUUUCAAGAAGCGGGAAAUAAGGCACAUUAUGUACAUAGAAUAUGUACAUAGAAUCAAAGAUAAGAAUAGUAGCAGAAUUCUUGUUAGGAACAAUGCAAGUCAGAAGACAGUGGAGCAAAAUCUUUAAAGAAAUGAAAGAAAAAGAAACAACACUGAUAAGUUAGAAUUUUAUAGUCAGAAAAAAGAUCUUUCAAAAACAAAAGCCAACACCCAGCCAAAGAUGACAAAUGAGCAUAUGAAAAGAUGGCCAACAUCAGACGUCACUAGGGAAUUGCAGUUUAAAAGGAAUAACAAGAUACCACUAUACAUCUAUUAGAAUGGUUGAAAUCC
rnacentral:lncRNA from 1 species